UACGAGAGGCCCAAACGUUAUUCGGAUUUACUGGGCUUAAAGAGUUCGUAGGCGGCGCGGAAAGUAGGGUGUGAAAGCCCUCGGCUCAACCGAGGAAUUGCGCUCUAAACUACCGUGCUCGAGGAAGCUAGAGGUGAGCGGAACUGAUGGUGGAGCGGUGAAAUGCGUUGAUAUCAUCAGGAACACCGGAGGCGAAGGCGGCUCACUGGGGCUUUUCUGACGCUGAGGAACGAAAGCCAGGGGAGCGAACGGG
rnacentral:rRNA from 1 species